rnacentral:tRNA from 1 species
ACCUGGGUGGCUCAGUUGGUUGAGCGUCUGACUUCGGCUCAGGUCAUGAUCUCACAGUUCAUGGGUUCAAACCCCGCAUCGGGCU